GGUUAAGUUAGAAAGGGCGCACGGUGAAUGCCUUGGCACUAGGAGCCGAUGAAGGACGGGACUAACACCGAUAUGCUUCGGGGAGCUGUAAGUGAGCUUUGAUCCGGAGAUUUCCGAAUGGGGAAACCCACUGUUCGUAAUGGAACAGUAUCUUUAUCUGAAUACAUAGGAUAUUGAAGGCAGACCCGGGGAACUGAAACAUCUAAGUACCCGGAGGAAGAGAAAGCAAAUGCGAUUUCCUGAGUAGCGGCGAGCGAAACGGAAUUAGCCCAAACCAAGAGGCUUGCCUCUUGGGGUUGUAGGACACUCUAUACGGAGUUACAAAGGAACGAAGUAAAUGAAGCGACCUGGAAAGGUCCGUCGAAGAAGGUAACAACCCUGUAGUUGAAACUUCGUUCCCUCUUGAGUGGAUCCUGAGUACGGCGGAACACGUGAAAUUCCGUCGGAAGCUGGGAGGACCAUCUCCCAAGGCUAAAUACUACCUAGUGACCGAUAGUGAACCAGUACCGUGAGGGAAAGGUGAAAAGCACCCCGGAAGGGGAGUGAAAGAGAUCCUGAAACCGUGUGCCUACAAGUAGUCAGAGCCCGUUAACGGGUGAUGGCGUGCCUUUUGUAGAAUGAACCGGCGAGUUACGAUCCCAUGCAAGGUUAAGCUGAUAAGGCGGAGCCGUAGCGAAAGCGAGUCUGAAUAGGGCGUUUAGUAUGUGGUCGUAGACCCGAAACCAGGUGAUCUACCCAUGUCCAGGGUGAAGUUCAGGUAACACUGAAUGGAGGCCCGAACCCACGCACGUUGAAAAGUGCGGGGAUGAGGUGUGGGUAGCGGAGAAAUUCCAAUCGAACCUGGAGAUAGCUGGUUCUCUCCGAAAUAGCUUUAGGGCUAGCCUCAUGUUGUGAGAGUCUUGGAGGUAGAGCACUGAUUGGACUAGGGGCCCCCAACGGGUUACCGAAUUCAGUCAAACUCCGAAUGCCAAAGACUUAUCCAUGGGAGUCAGACUGCGAGUGAUAAGAUCCGUAGUCAAAAGGGAAACAGCCCAGACCACCAGCUAAGGUCCCCAAGUAUACGUUAAGUGGAAAAGGAUGUGGAGUUGCUUAGACAACCAGGAUGUUGGCUUAGAAGCAGCCACCAUUUAAAGAGUGCGUAAUAGCUCACUGGUCGAGUGACUCUGCGCCGAAAAUGUACCGGGGCUAAACGUAUCACCGAAGCUGUGGAUUGACAUCUUUGAUGUCAGUGGUAGGAGAGCGUUCUAAGUGCUGUGAAGUCAGACCGUAAGGACUGGUGGAGCGCUUAGAAGUGAGAAUGCCGGUAUGAGUAGCGAAAGACAAGUGAGAAUCUUGUCCACCGAAUGCCUAAGGUUUCCUGAGGAAGGCUCGUCCGCUCAGGGUUAGUCGGGACCUAAGCCGAGGCUGAAAAGCGUAGGCGAUGGCCAACAGGUUGAUAUUCCUGUACCACCUCCCCGCCGUUUGAGUAAUGGGGGGACGCAGUAGGAUAGGGUAAGCGCGCUGCUGGAUAUGCGCGUUCAAGCAGUUAGGCUGAUGAGUAGGCAAAUCCGCUCAUCAUAAAGGCUGAGCUGUGAUGACGAGGGAAUUAUAGUACCGAAGUUCCUGAUUCCACACUGCCAAGAAAAGCCUCUAGCGAGGCGGGAGGUGCCCGUACCGCAAACCGACACAGGUAGGCGAGGAGAGAAUCCUAAGGUGAUCGAGAGAACUCUCGUUAAGGAACUCGGCAAAAUGACCCCGUAACUUCGGGAGAAGGGGUGCUCUGGUAGGGUGUAUAGCCCGAGAGAGCCGCAGUGAAUAGGCCCAGGCGACUGUUUAGCAAAAACACAGGUCUCUGCGAAGCCGCAAGGCGAAGUAUAGGGGCUGACGCCUGCCCGGUGCUGGAAGGUUAAGAGGAGGGGUUAUCCUUUGGGAGAAGCUCUGAAUCGAAGCCCCAGUAAACGGCGGCCGUAACUAUAACGGUCCUAAGGUAGCGAAAUUCCUUGUCGGGUAAGUUCCGACCCGCACGAAAGGCGUAACGAUCUGGGCACUGUCUCAACGAGAGACUCGGUGAAAUUAUAGUACCUGUGAAGAUGCAGGUUACCCGCGACAGGACGGAAAGACCCCGUGGAGCUUUACUGUAGCCUGAUAUUGAAUUUUGGUACAGCUUGUACAGGAUAGGUAGGAGCCUGAGAAGCCGGAGCGCUAGCUUCGGUGGAGGCGUCGGUGGGAUACUACCCUGGCUGUAUUGAAAUUCUAACCCGCGGCCCUGAUCGGGCCGGGAGACAGUGUCAGGUGGGCAGUUUGACUGGGGCGGUCGCCUCCUAAAAUGUAACGGAGGCGCCCAAAGGUUCCCUCAGAAUGGUUGGAAAUCAUUCGUAGAGUGUAAAGGCACAAGGGAGCUUGACUGCGAGACCUACAAGUCGAGCAGGGACGAAAGUCGGGCUUAGUGAUCCGGUGGUUCCGCAUGGAAGGGCCAUCGCUCAACGGAUAAAAGCUACCCCGGGGAUAACAGGCUUAUCUCCCCCAAGAGUCCACAUCGACGGGGAGGUUUGGCACCUCGAUGUCGGCUCAUCGCAUCCUGGGGCUGUAGUCGGUCCCAAGGGUUGGGCUGUUCGCCCAUUAAAGCGGUACGCGAGCUGGGUUCAGAACGUCGUGAGACAGUUCGGUCCCUAUCCGUCGUGGGCGUAGGAAAUUUGAGAGGAGCUGUCCUUAGUACGAGAGGACCGGGAUGGACACACCGCUGGUGUACCAGUUGUCUUGCCAAAGGCAUCGCUGGGUAGCUAUGUGUGGACGGGAUAAGUGCUGAAAGCAUCUAAGCAUGAAGCCCCCCUCAAGAUGAGAUUUCCCAUAGCGCAAGCUAGUAAGAUCCCUGAAAGAUGAUCAGGUUGAUAGGUCAGAGGUGGAAGCGUGGCGACAUGUGUAGCUGACUGAUACUAAUCGAUCGAGGACUUAACCAA
rnacentral:rRNA from 1 species